CACGUAGGGCGCAAGCGUUGUCCGGAAUUACUGGGCGUAAAGCGCGCGCAGGCGGCCCGCGAGGUGUCACGUGAAAGCCCCGGGCUCAACCCGGGAGGGUCGUGGCAAACCGGCGGGCUUGAGGCCGGUAGAGGUGGGUGGAACUCCUGGUGGAGUGGUGAAAUGCGUAGAGAUCAGGAAGAACACCCGUGGCGAAGGCGGCCCACUGGGCCGGUACUGACGCUGAGGCGCGAAGGCGUGGGGAGCGAACAGG
rnacentral:rRNA from 1 species